GUAACUAUAGUUUUAAUUAAAACAUUAGAUUGUGGUUCCUAAAAUAAAAGUUAAACCCUUUUUAGUCACC
rnacentral:tRNA from 1 species